CGCAUCUGUGCAUGCAGCAUAUCAAUAAGCGGAGGAAAAGAAACUAACAAGGAUUCCCCUAGUAACGGCGAGUGAAGCGGGAAGAGCUCAAAUUUGAAAUCUUAAAGGGUUUCCCUUUACGAAUUGUAGUUUAAAGAAGUGUUUUCUGUUGAGGUUUUGGUAAAAGUUCUUUGGAAUAGGACAUCAUAGAGGGUGAGAAUCCCGUAUUUGACCUUUACUUUCAACUUUGUGAUACACUUUCAAAGAGUCGGAUUGUUUGGGAAUGCAGUCCAAAAUGGGUGGUAAAUUUCAUCUAAAGCUAAAUAUUGGCGAGAGACCGAUAGCGAACAAGCACCGUGAGGGAAGGAUGAAAAGAACUUUGAAAAGAGAGUUAAACAGUACGUGAAAUUGUCAAAAGGGAAGCGUUUGACACCAGUGUUGUUUUUCUGAAAAUCAAUUAAAGAACUGUUUAUGCUAAGCUGUUUAGACUUUAUCAGCUAUCUGUUUAGUUUUAGGCUUUUCUUCAAUGCACUUUUCAGUUAACAAGUCAACAUCAAUUUCUUUUGCUGUAAAAAAGCUUGAGGAAGGUGGCUUGAGAUUCGUCUUAAGUGUUUAUAGCCUCUUGCCUAUGCAGUCGGAGAGAUUGAGGUCUGCAGCGUAGAUCCUUCGGGGCUAAAUGCAUUUGUGCUAAGUUAUAGCAUUUUAUAGACAACUUGUUGACUAUGAUUUGUCUUGUAGCUUACUCGCUUAUGUUAUUUUACCUACGCUUAGGAUGUUGAACGCGCACAGAGUCUC
rnacentral:rRNA from 1 species